rnacentral:rRNA from 1 species
UACGAAGGGGGCUAGCGUUGCUCGGAAUUACUGGGCGUAAAGGGCGCGUAGGCGGAUACUUAAGUCGGGGGUGAAAGCCCAGGGCUCAACCCUGGAACAGCCUUCGAUACUGGGUAUCUUGAGUACGAGAGAGGUGUGUGGAACUCCGAGUGUAGAGGUGAAAUUCGUAGAUAUUCGGAAGAACACCAGUGGCGAAGGCGACACACUGGCCCGUUACUGACGCUGAGGCGCGAAAGCGUGGGGAGCAAAC